AUUAGCUAGUUGGUGAGGUAAUGGCUCACCAAGGCGACGAUCCCUAGCUGGUCUGAGAGGAUGAUCAGCCACACUGGAACUGAGACACGGUCCAGACUCCUACGGGAGGCAGCAGUGGGGAAUAUUGCACAAUGGGCGCAAGCCUGAUGCAGCCAUGCCGCGUGUAUGAAGAAGGCCUUCGGGUUGUAAAGUACUUUCAGUCGUGAGGAAGGUAGUUGCGUUAAUAGCGUAAUUAUUUGACGUUAGCGACAGAAGAAGCACCGGCUAACUCCGUGCCAGCAGCCGCGGUAAUACGGAGGGUGCGAGCGUUAAUCGGAAUUACUGGGCGUAAAGCGCAUGCAGGUGGUUUGUUAAGUCAGAUGUGAAAGCCCGGGGCUCAACCUCGGAACUGCAUUUGAAACUGGCAAACUAGAGUACUGUAGAGGGGGGUAGAAUUUCAGGUGUAGCGGUGAAAUGCGUAGAGAUCUGAAGGAAUACCAGUGGCGAAGGCGGCCCCCUGGACAGAUACUGACACUCAGAUGCGAAAGCGUGGGGAGCAAACAGGAUUAGAUACCC
rnacentral:rRNA from 1 species